rnacentral:tRNA from 1 species
GGGGUCGUAGCUCAGCCUGGUUAGAGCGCUGCACUGUCACUGCAGAGGUCGCGGGUCCGAGUCCCGUCGGCCCCGCCA